rnacentral:rRNA from 1 species
UUGGUGGGGUAAUGGCCUACCAAGGCUUUGACGGGUAGCCGGCCUGAGAGGGUGACCGGCCACACUGGGACUGAGACACGGCCCAGACUCCUACGGGAGGCAGCAGUGGGGAAUAUUGGACAAUGGGCGGAAGCCUGAUCCAGCAACUCCGCGUGAAGGAUGACGGCCUUCGGGUUGUAAACCUCUUUCAGCACAGACAAAGUUGUCCUCACGUGUGGGGGUGGUGACGGUAUGUGCAGAAGAAGCACCGGCCAACUACGUGCCAGCAGCCGCGGUAAUACGUAGGGUGCGAGCGUUGUCCGGAAUUAUUGGGCGUAAAGGGCUCGUAGGCGGUUUGUCGCGUCGGGAGUGAAAUCCACUGGCUUAACUGGUGGCUUGCUUUCGAUACGGGCAGACUGGAGGUAUGCAGGGGAGAACGGAAUUCCUGGUGUAGCGGUGAAAUGCGCAGAUAUCAGGAGGAACACCGGUGGCGAAGGCGGUUCUCAGGGCAUGUACUGACGCUGAGGAGCGAAAGCGUGGGGAGCGAACAGGAUUAGAUACCCUGGUAGUCCACGCCGUAAACGGUGGGUACUAGGUGUGGGUUUCCUUCCUUGGGAUCCGUGCCGUAGCUAACGCAUUAAGUACCCCGCCUGGGGAGUACGGCGCGGCCUAUCAGCUUGUUGGUGGGGUGAUGGC